GACGAACGCUGGCGGCGUGCUUAACACAUGCAAGUCGAACGGAAAGGCCCUGCUUUUGUGGGGUGCUCGAGUGGCGAACGGGUGAGUAACACGUGAGUAACCUGCCCUUGACUUUGGGAUAACUUCAGGAAACUGGGGCUAAUACCGGAUAGGAGCUCCUGCUGCAUGGUGGGGGUUGGAAAGUUUCGGCGGUUGGGGAUGGACUCGCGGCUUAUCAGCUUGUUGGUGGGGUAGUGGCUUACCAAGGCUUUGACGGGUAGCCGGCCUGAGAGGGUGACCGGCCACAUUGGGGCUGAGAUACGGCCCAGACUCCUACGGGAGGCAGCAGUGGGGAAUAUUGCACAAUGGGCGGAAGCCUGAUGCAGCAACGCCGCGUGCGGGAUGACGGCCUUCGGGUUGUAGACCGCUUUCGCCUGUGACGAAGCGUGAGUGACGGUAAUGGGUAAAGAAGCACCGGCUAACUACGUG
rnacentral:rRNA from 1 species